UGGGGAAUAUUGCACAAUGGGCGCAAGCCUGAUGCAGCCAUGCCGCGUGUGUGAAGAAGGCCUUCGGGUUGUAAAGUACUUUCAGCGGGGAGGAAGGGAGUAAAGUUAAUACCUUUGCUCAUUGACGUUACCCGCAGAAGAAGCACCGGCUAACUCCGUGCCAGCAGCCGCGGUAAUACGGAGGGUGCAAGCGUUAAUCGGAAUUACUGGGCGUAAAGCGCACGCAGGCGGUUUGUUAAGUCAGAUGUGAAAUCCCCGGGCUCAACCUGGGAACUGCAUCUGAUACUGGCAAGCUUGAGUCUCGUAGAGGUGGGUAGAAUUCCAGGUGUAGCGGGGAAAUGCGUAGAGAUCUGGAGGAAUACCGGUGGCGAAGGCGGCCCCCUGGACGAAGACUGACGCUCAGGUGCGAAAGCGUGGGGAGCAAACAGG
rnacentral:rRNA from 1 species